GAUUGGUUAGCGCGUGAGACUUUUAAUCUCAAGGCUCAGGGUUCGAGUCCCUGGUCGGGCG
rfam:Cochliobolus sativus ND90Pr unplaced genomic scaffold COCSAscaffold_1, whole genome shotgun sequence.